GGGAGGAUGGCAGAGUGGCCCAUCGCACCUGACUGUAGAUCAGUAAAACCGGGGGUUCAAAUCCCUCUCCUCCCACCA
rnacentral:tRNA from 2 species